GACGAACGCUGGCGGCGUGCUUAACACAUGCAAGUCGAACGGAAAGGCCCUGCUUUUGUGGGGUGCUCGAGUGGCGAACGGGUGAGUAACACGUGAGUAACCUGCCCUUGACUUUGGGAUAACUUCAGGAAACUGGGGCUAAUACCGGAUAGGAGCUCCUGCUGCAUGGUGGGGGUUGGAAAGUUUCGGCGGUUGGGGAUGGACUCGCGGCUUAUCAGCUUGUUGGUGGGGUAGUGGCUUACCAGGGCUUUGACGGGUAGCCGGCCUGAGAGGGUGACCGGCCACAUUGGGACUGAGAUACGGCCCAGACUCCUACGGGAGGCAGCAGUGGGGAAUAUUGCACAAUGGGCGGAAGCCUGAUGCAACAACGCCGCGUGCGGGAUGACGGCCUUCGGGUUGUAAACCGCUUUCGCCUGUGACGAAGCGUGAGUGACGGUAAUGGGUAAAGAAGCACCGGCUAACUACGUGCCAGCAGCCGCGGUGAUACGUAGGGUGCGAGCGUUGUCCGGAUUUAUUGGGCGUAAAGGGCUCGUAGGUGGUUGAUCGCGUCGGAAGUGUAAUCUUGGGGCUUAACCCUGAGCGUGCUUUCGAUACGGGUUGACUUGAGGAAGGUAGGGGAGAAUGGAAUUCCUGGUGGAGCGGUGGAAUGCGCAGAUAUCAGGAGGAACACCAGUGGCGAAGGCGGUUCUCUGGGCCUUUCCUGACGCUGAGGAGCGAAAGCGUGGGGAGCGAACAGGCUUAGAUACCCUGGUAGUCCACGCUGUAAACGGUGGGUACUAGGUGUGGGGUCCAUUCCACGGGUUCCGUGCCGUAGCUAACGCUUUAAGUACCCCGCCUGGGGAGUACGGCCGCAAGGCUAAAACUCAAAGGAAUUGACGGGGCCCCGCACAAGCGGCGGAGCAUGCGGAUUAAUUCGAUGCAACGCGUAGAACCUUACCUGGGUUUGACAUGGAUCGGGAGUGCUCAGAGAUGGGUGUGCCUCUUUUGGGGUCGGUUCACAGGUGGUGCAUGGCUGUCGUCAGCUCGUGUCGUGAGAUGUUGGGUUAAGUCCCGCAACGAGCGCAACCCUUGUUCACUGUUGCCAGCACGUUAUGGUGGGGACUCAGUGGAGACCGCCGGGGUCAACUCGGAGGAAGGUGGGGAUGACGUCAAGUCAUCAUGCCCCUUAUGUCCAGGGCUUCACGCAUGCUACAAUGGCUGGUACAGAGAGUGGCGAGCCUGUGAGGGUGAGCGAAUCUCGGAAAGCCGGUCUCAGUUCGGAUUGGGGUCUGCAACUCGACCUCAUGAAGUCGGAGUCGCUAGUAAUCGCAGAUCAGCAACGCUGCGGUGAAUACGUUCCCGGGGCU
rnacentral:rRNA from 1 species